AGAUCCUUGGCCAAACAACGCGGAUUGCAGUUCAUUUCAAAGUUUUGCUACUGUUCCUGAUUCAUUUCAUUGUGAUAAGAAAAGCUGCUUGGUUUUGGUAUCAGGAUGAUGCUGGCAUCAUAAAAUGAGUAUUUUUCUUCAGACUUCAGACUGCUGUGCUGGAAGCAAGAAUUUCAAGCAUUGGAUCUUAGCUUGCUGGGCUCCAUAGGGGUGGGAUCCACUGAGCUAGACCACUUGGCUCCCUGGCUUCAGCCCCCUUCCAGAUGUCCUUGGCGUGUACACCCUGUGGAAUCUGGUUCAUCUUCAAUCUGUCAGAAGGCAUCAGAGGUGGUUUUGACUCCUUAUGUCUUGGACCUGUGCACAAAAAGUGUAAAAUGGAUGGAACAUCAGACAGCUCAUUAUAGAGACAAGUAAGCUCCAGUUCCAAAGUUGGUUGACAGAACAAGUCAUGACCUUGUGUGGAGGAAAAUGAGAUCCCGAGUGAAGUCUACAAUGUCAUUGACUCUGAAGAAGGACUCAGAGACCCAUUGGUGUUUAAUGACCCUUACUGGCCUAUGCAAUGGAAACUGAUCUUGAGUGUGCCUUAAAAUUCCAUUUCAUGGAGAACUGUGCGUGGUUGAAUUUUGAUUG
rnacentral:lncRNA from 10 species